rnacentral:sRNA from 1 species
UUGACAGUUCUGGAAGCUGAAGUCCUCUCUCUAGCCACAGAACACACACAGCAUAGGCAGCUGGAGACCCAGCUUCCCCACAGUGCCCUUCAGGUGUGCCUUCGCCCUGUUCUGGAGGAAAUGCCUUUAAGCAGUGGGAGGGUACUUCUGUCUUCAUUUCCAUUCAAUCUUCAGCACCU